rnacentral:rRNA from 1 species
AGGGGUUUGAUCCUGGGCUCGGGAUGAACGCUGGCGGCGUGCCUAAUACAUGCAAGUCGAGCGAACCACUUCGGUGGUGAGCGGCGAACGGGUGAGUAACACGUAGGUGAUCUGCCCAUCAGACGGGGACAACGAUUGGAAACGAUCGCUAAUACCGGAUAGGACGAAAGUUUAAAGGUGCUUCUGGCACCGCUGAUGGAUGAGCCUGCGGCGCAUUAGCUAGUUGGUAGGGUAAAGGCCUACCAAGGCGACGAUGCGUAGCCGACCUGAGAGGGUGAACGGCCACACUGGGACUGAGACACGGCCCAGACUCCUACGGGAGGCAGCAGUAGGGAAUCUUCGGCAAUGGGCGAAAGCCUGACCGAGCAACGCCGCGUGAAUGAUGAAGGCCUUCGGGUUGUAAAAUUCUGUUAUAAGGGAAGAACGACUUUAGUAGGAAAUGGCUAAAGUGUGACGGUACCUUAUGAGAAAGCCACGGCUAACUACGUGCCAGCAGCCGCGGUAAUACGUAGGUGGCAAGCGUUAUCCGGAAUUAUUGGGCGUAAAGAGCGCGCAGGUGGUUGAUUAAGUCUGAUGUGAAAGCCCACGGCUUAACCGUGGAGGGUCAUUGGNAAACUGGUCGACUUGAGUGCAGAAGAGGGAAGUGGAAUUCCAUGUGUAGCGGUGNAAAUGCGUAGAGAUAUGGAGGAACACC